rnacentral:lncRNA from 1 species
GUUUUUGGAUAAAUUUCACAGAACUAUUUACAUUUAUCAAAAUGUAUUUUAACUAUAUGGUAAAUUUGGAAUCUCUUAAGCUUGUUCGACCGUAAUAAUAUUAUAAAGAUUAUGGAUAGUAACAAUACCAUACAUAUGCAUUAUGCAAAUAUAUUCACCUGUUUUGCUAUAUAUAUAGUACAAAUAUUACAAGGGACCUUAUUAUAAUAUAAUAAUAUAACCGUUGAUGUAAUCAUAUGCAGUUGGUAAGUGAUGUAGUCGGUACGUAUCUGUGCUCCCGAUUAGGAGAAUUUUAUUUUAAACUAGG